GGGCGGAAGGUUCGGUGGCAGUCGUCGGUGUUCCAGCUGGUGGUAGUUGGCUUCACUGUGUUGGGCGCUGGGCCCCUAGUUUCUGGAGCUGGGAAGUUGGGCGGCGGGCUCCGUCCCUGUCCUUCAGCUUCCAGCGUUCCUGGGUUUCCUUCGGCGGCGUGGGGCCUCGCCAAGGACUCGCCGGCCCUGUGGGGCCACGGCUUUAGUGGCGCCUUUUGCGGUGAGUGUGGGGGUUUUUCCUCGCUCCGCCCUGGGAACCCCUAGUUAGAGCGCCGCUUCUGCGGAAGUCUUCCCGGGUGGCCACGGGCAGUGAUCUCCGAGGCUGAGGUGCACUGACACUUUUAUUUUACUCUUGCCCUCCACUGCAAGCUUUACCAGACGCUGCGCUGUUACCCUUUUAAUUUGUCUUCAGACUUACCCGAGCCAAAUAAGUAAGCAUUGGUAGGCUUGGCUCAUGGAAGGCAUUCCCGAACAAGAAUUUAGAUAAAGCUAUUUCCCCAAAGCCUUUUGACAUAUACUAGGGUUUAUUUUCCUAUCUUUUAGUGUUUACUAACAUGUUGGUUAGCAUAUUGUUCAGAACUUUUAGUUCAGCGACAGUGAUAAGAUGUGCUAAGGACUUUAAUAAGUCGAAGCUAGUGACAAUGUAUUUUUUGUUGUUGAAACUUUCUUAAUCAGCUUUUCGGUUACCAGUCUUCACUUAGUUGUUAGAUAUGCAUUUGAACAAUUUUUUUUGAGGCUUUCUUUUCUUGUUUUCUCUUUUUAAGCUGAAGAGAUAAAGUAAUGAAGGACAGUGCUCCUAACAUGAAGAUUCUAGCAGUACAGAGGAUGAAAAAGGCUAUAAAUAUAUAAUAUAGCCCGACUCUAGUUAGGCCAAAAGAGACACGGGACAGUGAUGACAGUUAAUGUGCCCCUUAAGAGAUUUGUCUGAGUCAUUUGCUUUUGAAGGCUACCCUUAAUUUCCUAAUAGGCUUACAAGGAUAGAAGAGGGUUAAGUAAUAUAGUUCCAAUGACAUAGCUGCAUCAGUGCAGAAGAGGAGGGAGACAUUUCCCUCAGACCUCUUUACCUCAACUUUUUGAUAUGACAGAUUUAGUAUUUUGGGAUUUAAUAAAGACUGUUAUACAAGGAGUACUCCUGUAACUCUCUGUGCCUGCUACUGGAAUAGUAGCUUUCUUCCUUUUAAUUAGCCAUUUUUAAAUUUUUUAAAAUUUAUUUUAUUUUAUUUAUUUUUUUAAUGCGCUGGUGUGAGGGAAUCAGGUCCCCUGGAACUGGAUUUCCUGGAUUUAGUUGUGAACUGCCAUGUGGGUACUGGGAAUUCACCCUGGGUUCUCUAGAAGAACAGCCAAUGCUCUUAACCAAUGAGCUGUCUCUCCAGCCCACUUUUCCUUUUAAAGAUUGGAUUUUUUCCAUGUGCUUUGGGAGGCAAAGAUGACCAGUAAAACUUAAAGUCUCUUGGGAUCCUCUUAGUCUUGGUUGAUUUGCUCUUUCCUGUGCUCCAUGUUGGCAGAAUACAGGAUCUCCCAUAGACCCACCUUGAGAGUUCUCAUCCACGUGUUGCUUCCAUACAUCACUCCCAUAUGCCAACCAUUUCCAUGCCCUUUUCUCUGGCCUUCAUUUUGAGAGUUCUGCACUUUCUGCAUGAUCAGUCUCCAGCUGAUUUGCCUUACUUCG
rnacentral:lncRNA from 1 species